CCUACGGGUGGCAGCAGUGAGGAAUAUUGGUCAAUGGGCGCGAGCCUGAACCAGCCAAGUAGCGUGAAGGAUGACUGCCCUACGGGUUGUAAACUUCUUUUAUAAGGGAAUAAAGUGAUGCACGUGUGCCUUUUUGUAUGUACUUUAUGAAUAAGGAUCGGCUAACUCCGUGCCAGCAGCCGCGGUAAUACGGAGGAUCCGAGCGUUAUCCGGAUUUAUUGGGUUUAAAGGGAGCGUAGGCGGUUGGAUAAGUUAGUUGUGAAAUCCUGAGGCUCAACUUCGGAAUUGCCUCUGAUACUGGUAGGCUAGAGAGUAGUAGAGGUAGGCGGAAUGUAUGGUGUAGCGGUGAAAUGCUUAGAGAUCACAAAGAACACCGAUUGCGAAGGCAGUUUACCAAGCUACGUCUGACGUUGAGGCACGAAAGCGUGGGGAGCAAACAGGAUUAGAUACCCCAGUAGUC
rnacentral:rRNA from 1 species